CUACGGGGUGCUCCAGUGAGGAAUAUUGCACAAUGGGGGGAACCCUGAUGCAGCAAUGCCGCGUGGAGGAUGACGCAUUUCGGUGUGUAAACUCCUUUUAUAUGUCAAGAAAAUGACGGUAGCAUAUGAAUAAGCACCGGCUAACUCCGUGCCAGCAGCCGCGGUAAUACGGAGGGUACAAGCGUUACUCGGAAUCACUGGGCGUAAAGGACGCGUAGGCGGGUUGGAAAGUCAGGUGUGAAAUCCUACAGCUUAACUGUAGAACUGCACUUGAAACUUCUAAUCUAGAGUAUGGGAGGGGGAGAUGGAAUUAGUGGUGUAGGGGUAAAAUCCGUAGAUAUCACUAGGAAUACCUAAAGCGAAGGCGAUCUCCUGGAACAUUACUGACGCUAAGGCGUGAAAGCGUGGGGAGCAAACAGGAUUAGAUACCCGAGUAGUC
rnacentral:rRNA from 1 species